AUUGGAGUUAAAUUUUUGCAAUCGGGGUGGAAAAUUUAUAAACAGUAAUAACUUUUUGUUCAAAUUGUCAGAUCGUUGGCACUAACCAUUAAUCCCAAAAACUCGAGCCGUUAGAAAUACGCAACCAAUUCACUUAAAGUGUACAGAUACAGCACUCACGGAUCUCGAUUCUGACUCGGCUCACCGAGUCUCACGCCAUUUCGAACAUGACUCGUCCCAACAUAUAUGACCUCCCGCCACAGGGCAGGAUGCUGGCCAAUUUAAGCCAACAUGAAUGUCCAUUUUCAUCAUGUACUAAAUCCAAUUCAAAAAUACUUUUCAAGAUCUAUACGUUGAACUGUAAGGCUAUUACGGCCGAGUUUGAUACCCAAAUUCAAAUGUUUCGGCCUUCAUUUUUGCAUUUUUAAGUUAUAUUUUUCAAAAGCUUUGUAUUAUUUU
rnacentral:lncRNA from 1 species